GGAUUUGAAAAGUCGAGUGAUAUUGAUCUUUCAUUAAAAUUGAAGACUGAAAUAUUAAAAGGCGGAAGCACACAAACCAACCCGGCCGUUACAGUGUUAUUUGGUCCUUUUCUUUUCCAAAUCAGCUUUCAUCAACCGCCAUCGUUUUCUUUGACGUGUGGAUAAAUUAUAACCAUCUCAGACCAUCCUCACUCAGGACCUCACCGACGAGCUCGUCAUCGUCGACAACAAAUCCGAUAAACUCCGCGGCGAGAUGGUCGACCUUCAGCGCGCCGCUGCCUUUCUCCCCCGCGUUAAGAUCAACUCAUCCAUUGAAUACUCCGUUCCGGGUCCGAUCUUUGUAUUGUUACCGCCGGCGCACGACAGAUUGCCGGUGAGUCAAGGCUGAACCUCCCUCAGAGGAACCUCGCUCUAUUAAAGGAAAUCAUACCUGCUCUGGCUCGUUACUCGCCGCAUACUCAUCGUGUCUAACCCUGUCGGUGUUAUCACCUACAUCGCAUGGAAGCUCUUCAGAUUCUUGCAAAUGAUACUUGAUAGUGGAAAGAAUUCAAUCUUACAAGACAGGUUCAUUGUAGAUAACUGCAGAACUCUAUUCUUUGCUGGACAUGAAACUACUGCAAAUACAGCGUCGUGGUGCCAUUCACCGGCUUAUGGUUUGGUUAUUGAACCUGAUCAGGGAGUUGUUCUUAAUAUGGCUAGAAUUUAAACAAUAAUGUAACUAAAUCAGACAUAUACUACUUCUGGUUUUUUUUUCUAUUAAAAAAAUCAACCAUGUUAAUUAUGAACAGAGUUAGAGGCUGCCUUAUUCCAAUAUUGUUGUGAGUUGGAGAACCAAUUUGGAUUUUCAUUCUUUUUUGCUUUCUCAAAUUUACGAUGUUUCCACCAUAUUGAAUUGUGUAGCAGAUUCCUUAAAAAAAAUGUGUAACAGAUAAAUAUGAAUUGUGUGAUUUUUGAAAUGGGUUGCAAGUGCCAAGUGGCGUCAUUCUCAUAAUUAAAUCUAAUAGGUCUCCAUAUAGUUCUCUAAUUCAUUUAUGAAAAAACAUAUUGUUAGCAAAACACCUUUUUCGUUAUUAUUAGUUACAUGUGUAAAUGCAUCUUCUUUAAAUCUAAAAUUGUGUUUGGACAAAAGUUUAAGUUUGUGACUAAAUGAUAUCUCCUAUUUCUGGUCAUCUCCAUUGUUGUUGUAAAGCUCCCCACAGUGUGAGAGUCACUCCUCUAUGAAAACAGCCUACUCACCCCUCGCAUUCUAUGACACCGUUUUUCCCUUCAUCUUCUUUCUUUUCAAACCCUCAUUCAUUCUCCGCUAUAACACACUAACCUACACAAAACACCACCUACAUUGACCUCAUCCAUUUCUCGCUAAUCUCUUUCUGGUUCCUUCCAAUGGUUUCUUUGAAUUUAAUUUUGGUUCCAAUUGGCUUUGAUCACGACACGAUAUUUUGUAUUUUACCAUCAUUCUGUGAUGAUUUCGUGAUUUGACGAUAGAAUUGUUUCUCCGCUAAUUUAGCGAUGCUCAUAUCUGUUCAAAGAAACAGAAUUCCGUUUAAUAAUCUUGAUUCAAUUAUUGUUAUAGUAAUCAAUUAUCAUCAUUCUUUAUUUUGCUUUCAAAUUUUAAUACAUUUAGUCUCAGAUUUUAAGUUUGAUUAUAUAGUAUUGCAAUUCUAAGUGCCUAUUGUUAAAUGAGAAAGAAAGGUAGAUUUGUAGCAUUGCUUGCAUUAUGAUUAUUUUAUUCUAGCUAGGUGCCACGUAGACAAUCAUUGUCUUAUAGACGGAUUCCUGUUUAAGAUAAAUUUGUUCAUUUUUGCUCUUUGAUAUUCUUAUGAAAGCUUUAAACAUAGAUAUCUCCUUGCACUAUGAAUUCACUUUUGGUAGUUUCAAUUUGGAUAUGAUGAUUUCUUUGGUUUGGUAGUAGAGUUGUUUCUACAGUAUUCUUUUUAUGCUCAUACCUGUCUAAUGAAACAAAAUCUUUUUUCUAGAAGAUGUAAGAUAGAAUUAACACAGGGUGGUGUCUCAGAUUUAAAAUUUGAGUAGAUAGUAUUAGAAAUUUGAAGAGUAAAGAGCAAUUAUUUCAUCUUGACUGCAUUAUUAUGAAAUAUCAUUACCUUUUUUUUUUCCUUGACAGAAUGCAAAAAUAUCCAAUCCUCAAGAGGAAUCUGCAGUAUCUAAGGCGAAUAAUUUUUUAAGUAAAAUUAUUUAUCGUUUUCAUUUUGGUCCUGCAAAGAAACUUCAAAUCACACAAUGUUCAUCAUUUCAAGAUGUUGAAGUUGGUUGUAAAGAUUCAAAUCUAAGCACAACAGCCCAGACGAGGAUGAUGGAAAUGAAAAUGGCCCAAUAAGGACGAGUCCAACCCAAAGAAGGUGCUAGUGCUACUACUGCAGGGGAAGAGAAAGAUACUUCCUCUGAAAUCAGAACCUCCAAAAUUACAUGCAUGAGGAGAAAAUCAGUGAGAGGAUGAAGAUUCUCCAAGAUCUUGUACCAAGUUACAAUAAGAGGUGCAGGUAAGUUAAAUCAGCAUUUAUGCUUCACUGUAGUUUAAUUUUUUUAGUAUUUUGCAUAAAGGUAUGUGGCAUAUAGGAACAGUUUUUUUAGUAUGUUGAUCAAUAUAUAGUAAUAAUAAAGGUUUUUAUUCUUUUGAGAGACAAA